UUUGUGGAGGGUUCGAUUCUGGCUCAGGAUGAACGCUGGCGGCGUGCUUAACACAUGCAAGUCGAACGGGAUCCAUCAGCUUGCUGGUGGUGAGAGUGGCGAACGGGUGAGUAAUGCGUGACCGACCUGCCCCAUGCUCCGGAAUAGCUCCUGGAAACGGGUGG
rfam:Bifidobacterium saguini DSM 23967 Contig10, whole genome shotgun sequence.